AAUAAAAUGGCUGAAAUUAAAGCAAUAAAUUGUAAAUUUAUUUAUAAGAUUUAAAAAUCUUUUUUAUUA
rnacentral:tRNA from 1 species